ACAUACGACCAUACCCAUUGGAAAACUCGGGAUCCCGUCCGCUCUCCCAGAUAAGCCAAUGAGGGCUGGAAGUAGUCGGGUCGGUGACGACCGGCGAAUGCCCGGUGUUGUAUGUU
rfam:Colletotrichum gloeosporioides Nara gc5 unplaced genomic scaffold scaffold69, whole genome shotgun sequence.